UAAUACGUAGGGGGCUAGCGUUGUCCGGAAUCAUUGGGCGUAAAGCGCGUGUAGGCGGUCCGGUAAGUCCGCUGUGAAAGUCGGGGGCUCAACCCUCGAAUGCCGGUGGAUACUGUCGGGCUAGAGUGCGGAAGAGGCGAGUGGAAUUCCUGGUGUAGCGGUGAAAUGCGCAGAUAUCAGGAGGAACACCAAUUGCGAAGGCAGCUCGCUGGGACGUUACUGACGCUGAGACGCGAAAGCGUGGGGAGCAAACAG
rnacentral:rRNA from 1 species